rnacentral:snoRNA from 1 species
AUGCAAGCAUUAGUACAGAUGCAAGAAGAAAAUUUCCUCAUGCUUUCUGCCUGUUUGAUUGUGGCAGCCAAAUUUAACAGAGGAACACAAAG